UACGGCCUUCAACACGGAGCCUUGGCUCACAUCAAUCAGCACGCUAUAAAGGACCCAAAAUAUUACUAGUGUUAAACCAUUUAAACGGGAAAAGCAACGGUCUAAUCUAUAUAAAAACGAGAAGCAUGGUUGAGCCGUUAGAGCAAAUGGAUAAUUACAUUCAAACAAACAAAAUCUAGGGAGCUUUUUUAUAUAUUUUAUGUGAAAAUGACAAUGAGAAUGAUGGUCGUAGUGUGAACGUAGUCAGGUCGUAAGAG
rnacentral:lncRNA from 1 species